rnacentral:rRNA from 1 species
CUACGGGUCGCAGCAGUGAGGAAUAUUGCACAAUGGGGGGAACCCUGAUGCAGCAACGCCGCGUGGAGGAUGACGCAUUUCGGUGUGUAGACUCCUUUUAUAUGUCGAGAAAAUGACGGUAGCAUAUGAAUAAGCACCGGCUAACUCCGUGCCAGCAGCCGCGGUAAUACGGAGGGUGCAAGCGUUACUCGGAAUCACUGGGCGUAAAGGACGCGUAGGCGGGCUUGUAAGUCAGGUGUGAAAUCCUACAGCUUAACUGUAGAACUGCACUUGAAACUACGAGCCUAGAGUAUGGGAGGGGGAGAUGGAAUUAGUGGUGUAGGGGUAAAAUCCGUAGAUAUCACUAGGAAUACCUAAAGCGAAGGCGAUCUCCUGGAACAUAACUGACGCUAAGGCGUGAAAGCGUGGGGAGCAAACAGGAUUAGAUACCCUCGUAGUC